rnacentral:lncRNA from 1 species
AGACGGCCAUCUUUGGAUCAGCCAUAUGGAUGAUUAACGGGUUUAAGAGUGGAAAGGAAGGAGUUUUUGAACAUACGCUGUGUUUUAGACUAAAUAUUUUCCUGUAGUAGAUCUACUGGAUGUUUGGGAGUAAGAGACGACACAAAAGUGGAGCCGGAGCAGUAGAUAUCAAUUUCCUCGGCACCUCCAGCGUCCGGACAGGUGGAGACAGAUGGUGCGAUGUUGGCGGCCAUUCAGAAAAGUUUUCUGAAUCUUGGACACUGAUGAAUAGCAAACAAAGUGUCUGCGAGUUGAACAGAAGAAAUCCGGCGGCUUCAUCAAAGAGUCAAAGAGGGAGCUGGAGAGGAACAGGAAGUGGAGUCAUUAGGAGUAAACGAGCAGAUUUAAUGUGCCGAAGCAUUUAUCAGCACACAGAGAGCCACCUGUCCGCACCUGGACGCUCCGCAGCGCCGACUGCUUCCUGCAGGAGGCGUUCACAGCCGGCCGACUUCCACAUUUAGAUUCAACUUACAGACAGAUUGUGAAAAUUCAUUAUAAAUUAAGCAUUUAGAAAACAUGAAUUCAGGAAAUGAAUGUUUUAAAAAUGCUCUUAAGUUUUACGUCUUGGUUUUUUUCUUUGAUAAAUGUGUUUUUUUACUUCAUCUCAGUGUUCAUUUGUCUCCGUGAUGUUUUAAACUCUCAGUUUCCCGAUUACUUUCAGAGAUGACUCACUUUAACGACACGUCAGGAACAUCCCGCCUACAAAUGAAGAGAUAUUAUUCACCAGGCGGCCAUUUUAUUCCAACAUCAGGGACGUUUUGAGUUAUGUCGACGCUGCAGUGCUGCAGGUUGCACGUUGUGUAACUGGAGGGAAUCUGACGUAUUGUUAUGAUUUUAAAGCUUUUAUGAAAAUCUAGAGGAACACUGAGCCAUGUUACUAGUAUAACAACAUAUUUGAUAUCCUGCUAGCUAACGUUAGCAUUCAACAACUUCCUAGCUACAUGACAGUCUGAUUACAUCAGUAUGUUUCACUGCCAGGAUUAGAAAUGUCUCAGUAUUUCAGAAUUAAGUGUCUUUUCUUUAGUUUGCCUUGACUUGAGCUUCCCACCCACAUGACAUCAGAGAAAAAUGGCCGCCAUGGUCACACGAAUUUUAUGGCCUAGGCCAGGAAAAGCAAAAGGGCGACUACGGGACUAAAAGAGGUGGAUCACCUCGGCUAAACAUCUUGGUGUCAUGGUCGUCGUUUAAUGUAGUUAUUUCCUGUUUUAUGCUGAAAGAGCCUCUCCUCAUGUGUCAUGUUUUGUUUCCUGUGUUCACCUGUGUUUCAUUAGUUCAUUAGUUCUCUGUACAUUACCUGUGUUUGGAUAUCUGUUGUUGUUUUGUUCUCUCAGUUGGAUUUUCUGCUCCAGCAAGUUUAUUAAAG